GGCUCCUCGUGGAAGCUAGAUGGGGAGUCGGACCUGCCCAGUGAAUUUUUUUAACGGCCGCGGUACUCUGACCGUGCAAAGGUAGCAUAAUCAUUUGCCUUAUAAUUGAAGGCUAGUAUGAAUGGUUUGACAAGAGUAUAGCUGUCUCUUUAUAAUUUUAUAAAAUUUUAUAUCCAGGUGAAGAAGCCUGGUUAUAAUUAAAAGACAAGAAGACCCUAUCGAGCUUUAGAGGAGUUAGUAGGUUACUUAUUAAUAGGGUUAAAAAUCUUUCUACUAAUAACUUUAGUUGGGGUGAUAGAGGAACAGAAAAAGCUUCCUUUAAACUUAAAUACUUUACAAAUAAUGAUCCAAAAGUUUUGAUUAAAGGAAUUAGUUACCGUAGGGAUAACAGCAUUAUCUUUUUUAAGAGCUCUUAUCGAAAAAAAGGUUUGUGACCUCGAUGUUGGACCAGAAUAUCCUAAAGAUGCAGCAGUCUUUAAGGGUUGGUCUGUUCGACCAUUAAAAUUCUACG
rnacentral:rRNA from 1 species